CGGGGGGAGCAAGCGUUGUUCGGAUUUACUGGGCGUAAAGCGCGCGCAGGCCGUCCUUUAAGUCUGAUGUGAAAGCCCACGGCUCAACCGUGGAGGGUCAUUGGAAACUGGGGGACUUGAGUACAGAAGAGAAGAGUGGAAUUCCACGUGUAGCGGUGAAAUGCGUAGAGAUGUGGAGGAACACCAGUGGCGAAGGCGACUCUUUGGUCUGUAACUGACGCUGAGGCGCGAAAGCGUGGGGAGCAAACAGGAUUAGAUACCCUGGUAGUCCACGCUGUAAACGAUGAGUGCUAAGUGUUAGAGGGUUUCCGCCCUUUAGUGCUGCAGCUAACGCAUUAAGCACUCCGCCUGGGGAGUACGGCCGCAAGGCUG
rnacentral:rRNA from 1 species